UGACCGCACAGCAGCCAGUCCAGCAGCAGUCUCCGAACUAACAGCUGAUCUCAGACUCUUCUCUCCUGUGAACAUCCGCGCUCAGCAGCCUAAGUUUGAAUCUUUCAACUGAAGAAGCACAAACUGGCAGAUCAGAAUUUUUUAACUUCUUUCACUGACUUCACUCAGAUGUUCAACUUUAAGUCUGCAGGUAUUUGACUCCAGAGCUGCACAAUCCAGAUCUACUCAGCUACAAUCUAUUAUUCAUUAUUAUCAUUGUGACUUCUUACUUACUGAUGCUGCUGUCAUUGCUAGAGUCAAAUGAUAUUACAUUUUUUAAUCUAUUAUUGUAAAACUGGUAUAGUGCUUGAAUACAA